rnacentral:rRNA from 1 species
GAUGAACGCUGGCGGCGUGCCUAAUACAUGCAAGUCGAGCGCGAGAGUGAGGAGCUUGCUCCUCAUAAUCGAGCGGCGGACGGGUGAGUAACACGUAGGCAGCCUACCCUUGAGAUUGGGAUAACUACCGGAAACGGUAGCUAAUACCGGAUACGACUUUUCCACACAAGUGGAAUGGUUAAAAGGCGGAUUUAUCUGCCGCUCAUGGAUGGGCCUGCGGUGCAUUAGCUAGUUGGUGAGGUAGUGGCUCACCAAGGCGACGAUGCAUAGCCGACCUGAGAGGGGGAUCGGCCACACUGGGACUGAGACACGGCCCAGACUCCUACGGGAGGCAGCAGUAGGGAAUCUCCCGCAAUGGACGCAAGUCUGACGGAGCAACGCCGCGUGAGUGAUGAAGGGUUUCGGCUCGUAAAACUCUGUUGUUAAGGAAGAACACUUGAGGUAGUAACUGGCCUUGAGAUGACGGUACUUAACCAGAAAGCCACGGCUAACUACGUGCCAGCCGCCGCCGUAA